rnacentral:rRNA from 1 species
UACGAAGGGGGCUAGCGUUGCUCGGAAUCACGUGGGCGUAAAGGGUGGCGUAGGCGGGUCUUUUAAGUCAGGGGUGAAAUCCUGGAGCUCAACUCCAGAACUGCCUUUGAUACUGAGAAGCUUGAGUCCGGGAGAGGUGAGUGGAACUGGCGAAGUGUAGAGGUGAAAUUCGUAGAUAUUCGCAAGAACACCAGUGGCGGAAGGCGGACUCACUGGCCCGGUACUGGACGACUGAGGUGCGAAAGCG